GGGUGCGAUCAUACCAGCACUAAUGCACCGGAUCCCAUCAGAACUCCGAAGUUAAACGUGCUCGGGUGAGAGUAGUACUAAGAUGGGUGACCUUUUGGGAAGUCCUCUUGUUGCGUGUU
rfam:Jatropha curcas cultivar GZQX0401 scaffold78_135, whole genome shotgun sequence.